GAAUGUUUUUGCUUUGGAGGGACAUAUUUGUUUAUUGGGAAGCUCAGUUCUCCCCAAAAGACACGUAGGACAAGAGAUCAGCCACCUGGCAUCAGUGGAAACAUGAAGAACAAGAAUGCCGUGUGCCAGUCUGGGGCACAAAUCCUGCCUCCGGCCGUGGCCCAAACCAAGGGCUGCCAGCUGUGCUGUGACAAGACUUUGUUAAUAAAUCUUAUAUGAGGAAGAAAAGAGUGUGGUGUCCCAGAAUUGCCCCAAGGCUGGUGCCUCGGACAUGCUGCAGGACAAGGAGCUGUAGCUGUCACAUUGCAGGUUUUGUCUCCUGGUGUUCCCACCACAUUACAACUGCUUGGUAAACAGUGUUUGGUGGGAUUUUAGCAAAAACUUCAGCUAGCCGUAUCUCACCUCUGACAAAUUACUGGUGGCCCAAGAAAUUUUUCAAGGGUUUGAAAACAUGACUGUUCUUAAACUAAGGACAGAGAGCAUCUCCUUUCAGGAAACUUCAUCUUAUUGGCAGAUGGCUCUGUGGAAAACCCAGAGAACUGUGGUGCUAAAUAUAAGACUACAUUUUAAAAGCAGACAGAGGAAUAUGAAAAAGAGAAAACUGGGUGAGAUUUUCUAAACAAUAAAGAUCUGGAUUAUUGCUAAUGUUUUGGUCAGUUGCUCUAUUCAGCCUUGGGGAGUAUGGUUUCUGAAGCCACUGCAGUCCGUAAUGCAAAUCCGUGUUUUAACAUCACAGUUAAAGAGCCUCAAUUGCACUGAAUUUGUAACAAAUAUCAGAUCCAAAUUGUGAUACACAUUUGGGGAUUCCCAAAUUGUCCAGAAUGGAUUUGCUGUGCUUCAAAUAAACAACAAGCCAAAUCUGUAAGUGUUUUGUUGCUCUUAUAGGGUGAAAGAGUCCAGAAAGCCAACCCACAGUAGAUGGAUGCAUUCCAUGAAAAAAAAAAAAAAGUCUUUCCAUUGUAUACAAACUACAGCUUCCUAGCUGAUUUAAUGUCUAGUCUAAUUCAGGGUGCAGAGCAGUAAUCCAGUCUCAAACUGAGACAUGGGUCAUGUGAAACGGUCACAGUCUCCCAGUCUGACAUAGAUUAAAACCCACUCAUCCUGAUGUCUGCUGCUAUAUGAAUAUCUAAGAGCAUUUUUGCAUCCAAAAGUAUCACCAGAUUGUGAAAUCUCCUGAAGGAUAAAUAAACAUAUUUCCUCAGUCAAAGAGGCAGAGACAGUCUUCACAAGGAAGUUCUCUGCUUCCUCCUUUUCCAUUGCUUUGUAUACCCAGCAAUCUGAAGCAGAAAAGUUACUCCAUGGAGAACCUGUGCUUUGACUUACAUUUACUUGAUGAAUGUGAUAAAAGCUCUUGUUUUUAACACUGUCAAGGAUGUAUGAAAUGAACUUACAAUACAAAAUGGGACAAGUUAAUUUCACCCUAGCCUUGGAGGUUCAGAUGCAAACUACAGUGAUGUAAUCUUUUGGAAAUAUCAAACAUUUAAAGGAGGAAAUUGCAGUUAGUCCACUAUAUAAAUCUUCAAUUUCCCAUUUAAAGAAGAAAAUACCGUUGAGAACUACUUGAUCUAAACUAGUGAUUGCAAUUUUUAUUAUCAGCUACCCCUUGGAAAAUUUCUAUAAAACCCAUAAGUAAAUUCCGUGCAAAUUUAAUUGCUCAAGGGGUAAACAUAAACUUGUCUAAAGUGGAAGGGCAUUCUUCAAUAUUUUCACAUGUAAUUGGUUAGCUCUGGAGAUGCAAACAUCCACAGAAUGGAAAACACAUGGAGUGAGAACAUUAUUUUGGGAUGUGUGAAAUGUGCUGUAGAGUUGGUUUAAUAUUCGUAGCUCUCUUUGUGGCUAAUGAGUGAUGCUGACUCUCUCAAUAUCUCGUGAAAUUUAGUCGUCUUAGAGGUUUUUCCUCCAAGUGCAGUUUGGGCAGAUUCUCCAUUUCCCUACUAUCGUAUUCUGCUACAAUCCUUUUUUUCCCAAGAUGUUAUCUAUUCAAAAGCAUCUAACUCCUGUGGGACUGGCAUACCUGUAACUGGCACCUUUUCUAAGCAGCUAAAAACAUUUCUAUCAUUUUGGCUUACUGCAUGAAGA